rnacentral:lncRNA from 1 species
CCAGGAUGGUGUGUUCCUUUCCUUUUCUGUAGAGAAGCUGAAGUUUAGGAAUCCUUCAGUGCCAACUGGUGUUUGAAAGUAGAGGCCUUAAAGGUUUGCCUAGAGAACCAGCAGUUUCAGAGUUAACUUUAGAUGUUUUGCAACGGAAGGUUUUUAAACACUAAAAUAUAUAAUUUAUAGUUAAGGCUAAAAAAGAAUAUUUAUUGCAGAGGGUGUUUGUAAGGCCAGUAUGAUUUAUAAAGUAAUGCAAUCUCCCCUUGAUUUUGGAGAGGCAUCAGUUUCGAGGACAACUAGGAUGCUUGGAGACAAGUUCAGUUCUAAUACGAUCUCUGACCCCUCCUUUCAUAAAAAAAACUUAGCAACCGAUAGGUAAUUUGCACAUCUUGGCUGUGUACCUUUUUGUAAUUAUCCUGU